ensembl:lncRNA
UUUUUUUUUUUUUUUUUUUUGCCAGUGAUAGAGUGAAGACUUGGAGAAUUUCAGUAUCCACGCCCCCAAAUCUCAUAAUGUGGAAGUGGCACGGUCUGGAUUUGAAUCUGGAUUACUCUCACACUCCUUUCUCUCCCACACUGCAUGCUGGUGUCCUGUUUACCCCUUUCUGCAUGCUAGGAGACACUUCUUGUCUCUGACUUCCUCUUGGUGGAGCUGAACAGCACCCCUCAGCUCUCUGCUGCUUUGAGAACAAAGGUUUUUGUCAUUGCUUUUAUUUUAGUAGUAAAUUAAGGUUUUAAACCUAAACAUUUAAAUUCAGUUAUAUUUAUUUCAAUAGUAACUGAAGGUUUGUACUGCUCGUUUUUCCUGGGAAAUAGACAAGGGCUAACCCAAAUACUAAAGUAGUAGACGUUUUUGUCCUGAUUUCCUUGUCUGUUGUCUGGGUUGUCCUUCUUGGCUGGCUCUUCAGGAGCCCUGAGCCUUGUUCUCUUCUAUUUUUAUCCUGCAGAUAAGCUGUUCCUCAGUUUCCCCCUCCCUUCAUUUGCUCCAUCUGUCCAUCACCCCAUCUUCCCCUGAUCUCUUCCUUUAGGAAGAUGUCUAGAGCCAAUUCCUUAUUGCGUUUAGAAGGCUUACUUUGAGCAGAUUAGCAGUGGCAAAUCAGUAGGUGAUUCAAAAGACUCUCAAGCUAUAAUUUACAUCUCAGGAAAAGCCUGAAUAGGUAGCUCUCAUUUUUCACAAAAUUUGUUCUUACGUGUCGAUAAUAAUAUUAACAACGAAUCUGCCUGUUCAAGAUGGCUGACAGAGCAUACCUGUUCAGUUCUCCUCCCUUCCCAAAUUCUGUGAGAAUGAAUGAAGAAAUAUAAACAUUGAACAUAAUAACUUAUAUUUCUACUUUCAUGUACACUCAUUUGAUAUUCACAAGAAAUCUGAAAGUUAGGCAGUAAUGGCUACAUUUUAGCUAAGGAAGGGAAAGCGCAGACAGAGACUAGCUUGCCCAAAGCUAACAGCCAAUCAGUGGAGGAGCUGGCAGUGCAACCCAGAUGUCCAGAAUUACCUCAUUCAGAGCUCUAGUUUGUCAAAGUUAUUUUAUUGCGCGAGUCCAACCAUCCAACCAGGCAGCCUCAGUUUCUAAUUGCCUUAGAAUUGCUCAUAUGGUGAAACAACUUUAUAUCUAAUUUAAAAUUAAAAGGUCUGUUUUUAUUUGCAUUAGAUCUCAAUCUAUAGCAUAGGCUGUAUCUGGUUUUACCAUCCAUCCCUCCUGUAACGCAGGCGCUCUCCAGAGUAUCAGAAUUUUCAGUGGUGUCUGGGUGAUGCCCAAGAUUCAUUGAGCUGGCCAUCUUAGGCAGCUCUCUAUCGCAUUUAGUAUUAUGACAGUAUCUAUGUUUUGGUUUGGUGGAUAAAAUAAUAAUGUAUUUCAUGUAACCUUAUUGGUGUCUACAUGAAAGCAAUGCCAAGUGUCCAGUUUCUAAAAGUGAUGAGCAGAAACAGAUGAGGCAGGUGUCUAUGGAGACUUUGUCUUGUCCUUGAGUUCAAAAAGGUUUGAGAACCAUGGUUUCAGAUAAUCCUAAAUAAAGUGCAAUAUUCCACAGCAGUUGUGUAAAGAGGAAAUGCACCCAAUCCACGACUUUACUGACAUCAUUAGGCAAACGAUUAUUGACCAAAAGCUGUUUAGGAGAAAACUGAGCAUAAAUCCUUAUACUGGCCAAGGGAAACCACUUUUAGCUGUACAUGGCAGGGAGGUAUGAGUGAAUUCUACAAAUCAAACCAAAUCACGCCAA